rnacentral:rRNA from 1 species
GAUGAACGCUGGCGGCGUGCCUAAUACAUGCAAGUCGAGCGAAUGGAUUAAGAGCUUGCUCUUAUGAAGUUAGCGGCGGACGGGUGAGUAACACGUGGGUAACCUGCCCAUAAGACUGGGAUAACUCCGGGAAACCGGGGCUAAUACCGGAUAACAUUUUGAACCGCAUGGUUCGAAAUUGAAAGGCGGCUUCGGCUGUCACUUAUGGAUGGACCCGCGUCGCAUUAGCUAGUUGGUGAGGUAACGGCUCACCAAGGCAACGAUGGGUAGCCGACCUGGGCGGGUGAUCGGCCACACUGGGACUGAGACACGGCCCAGACUCCUACGGGAGGCAGCAGUAGGGAAUCUUCCGCAAUGGACGAAAGUCUGACGGAGCAACGCCGCGUGAGUGAUGAAGGCUUUCGGGUCGUAAAACUCUGUUGUUAGGGAAGAACAAGUGCUAGUUGAAUAAGCUGGCACCUUGACGGUACCUAACCAGAAAGCCACGGCUAACUACGUGCCAGCCGCCGCGGUAA